AGUAGGGUAUGCACUUACAUGAAAUCUAUCGACCUUGAUAGAAGAGGAGUGAUCCUAUGUGAUUUAUUAGACAGAGUUCUAAGACCUUGGCCAGGGCAAUAAUAUACAGUGGAGAAAGAGUUUUCCACUAUCGAACUCAAGUCGAAUAAAUCUAGACAUAUGACAGACGACGGGGUUUGACGAGUUAUCCAUGACCUCCAGUCUGUAGGGAUCCACGAUAGAAGGACUGUAUCAUACGAUAACUGCACCUAGAGGUUCAUCAUUCUAUUAUGCUGGGUGGCCACUACAUACUGCUAGGUGUCACUGGUGGAUGGUGAGACUCA
rnacentral:lncRNA from 1 species